UUUGAAUAUCUUAGCGGCGGACGGGUGAGUAACGUGUGGGCAACCUGCCUCAUACAGAGGGAUAAUCAUGUGAAAACGUGACUAAUACCGCAUGUCAUUUGUUGAAGGCAUCUUCGACAAAGAAAAGGAGCAAUCCGGUAUGAGAUGGGCCCGCAUCUGAUUAGCUAGUUGGUGAGAUAACAGCCCACCAAGGCGACGAUCAGUAGCCGACCUGAGAGGGUGAUCGGCCACAUUGGGACUGAGACACGGCCCAAACUCCUACGGGAGGCAGCAGUGGGGAAUAUUGCACAAUGGGGGAAACCCUGAUGCAGCAACGCCGCGUGAAGGAAGACGGUUUUCGGAUUGUAAACUUCUAUCAAUAGGGACGAAGAAAGUGACGGUACCUAAAUAAGAAGCCCCGGCUAACUACGUGCCAGCAGCCGCGGUAAUACGUAGGGGGCAAGCGUUAUCCGGAAUUACUGGGUGUAAAGGGUGAGUAGGCGGCAUGACAAGUAAGAUGUGAAAGCCCGUGGCUUAACCACGGGAUUGCAUUUUAAACUGUUGAGCUAGAGUACAGGAGAGGA
rnacentral:rRNA from 1 species